rnacentral:misc_RNA from 1 species
GAUGAAGAACGUAGCGAAAUGCGAUAAGUAAUGUGAAUUGCAGAAUUCAGUGAAUCAUCGAAUCUUUGAACGCACCUUGCGCCCUUUGGCCAUUCCGAAGGGCAUGCCUGUUUGAGUAUCAUGAACACCUCAACUCUUCAUGGUUUUCCGUGAUGAGCUUGGACUUUGGGGGUCUUGCUGGCCUAUGGUCAGCUCCUCUAAAAUAAAUCAGCUUGCCAGUGUUUGGUGGGUAUCACAGGUGUGAUAACUAUCUACGCUUGUGGUUUUCCACCAGGUAACCUUCAGCAGUGGAGGUUCGCUGGAGCUCACAGAUGUGUCUCUCCUCAGUGAGGACAGCUCUUUGAAUGUUUGAUCUCAAAUCAGGUAGGACUACCCGCUGAACUUAAGCAUAUCAUAAGCGGAGGA